rnacentral:tRNA from 1 species
GGAGAGGUUGCCGAGAGGCUUAAGGCGCCGCUCUCGAAAAGCGGUUCUCCCGAAAGGAGACGUGGGUUCAAAUCCCACCCUCUCCGCCA